rnacentral:misc_RNA from 1 species
AACGCACAUUGCGCCCGUCAGUAUUCUGGCGGGCAUGCCUGUCCGAGCGUCAUUUCAACCAUCAAGCCUCUGGGCUUGCGUUGGGGCCCUGCGGCUGCCCGCAGGCCCCGAAAGACAGUGGCGGGCUCGCUGGCACUCCGAGCGCAGUAGCAUCUCUCUCGCUCCGGUCGUGCCGCGGGUUCCAGCCGUGAAACAACCCCCUCCAUAAGGUUGACCUCGGAUCAGGUAGGAAUACCCGCUGAACUUAA